GCUGGCACGGUGGUGGGUGUUGUGCUGGGCUCCCUUGGGGUUCUUUGCCUAGCUGUUGGGUGUACAGAUGUUUGUCGGGAUCCUGAAGAUGCGUCGAUGUGUUAUCAUCCAUGCAAGCUUCCCCAACCCAGCCAGUGUACCACAAGACAACAGGCAGUGAGGAGGACGGGAGGAGGGAGCGAGCGGCUGCAUGCACUAUUGAACGGGACAGCAUUACAUUCUUCCCACAGUUGUAUGACUACACUGAAGGAAGCGUAGAAUAAAGUGUUGAGUGACCAUGAUGAAUCAGCACUACUAACGCCAAAGAAGUGAGGGAAGUGUUUGGAGUGAGCGUGCAAGACGU